rnacentral:rRNA from 1 species
UACGAGGGGGGCGAGCGUUGUUCGGAAUUAUUGGGCGUAAAGGGCGCGUAGGCGGCGCAUCAAGUCAGGCGUGAAAGCCCUGGGCUCAACCCGGGAAUUGCGCUUGAGACUGGUGUGCUUGAGUACGGGAGAGGAUAGUGGAAUUCCCAGUGUAGAGGUGAAAUUCGUAGAUAUUGGGAAGAACACCAGUGGCGAAGGCGGCUAUCUGGACCGUAACUGACGCUGAGGCGCGAAAGCGUGGGGAGCAAACAGG